rnacentral:rRNA from 1 species
UACGGGGGGGGCAAGCGUUGUUCGGAAUUACUGGGCGUAAAGGGCUCGUAGGCGGCCCUCUCAGUCGGAUGUGAAAUCCCCAGGCUUAACCUGGGAACGGCAUCCGAUACUGGAGGGCUUGAAUUCGGGAGAGGGAUGCAGAAUUCCAGGUGUAGCGGUGAAAUGCGUAGAUAUCUGGAGGAACACCGGUGGCGAAGGCGGCAUCCUGGACCGGUAUUGACACUGAAAAGCGAAAGCCAGGGGAGCAAACGGG